UCACACUGUUUUACUUGCACACACACACAUCUAUUAUCUUAAUUAGUACUACUCUAUGCAGGAAAUAAAAUUGUUUCGCUUUAAUCAACGUAUGUAUCAUUUGAUUAAUGAUUAUGAGUUUUCUGGGGGCGGCUUCUAAGUGGGUUAUGGAUAGAAUCCGUCAUUCCGCAAACAUGUAUGCAAACAUGCGUUGUGGGUCGUCUAGUGGUGGUGGUCCGAACGCCGUCUAGAAAAUGAAUCUCUAAGGUUAAAUCUUCAUAAAUAAUACAUGAUUAAAUCAUUACCGCAAAUCCAAAUCCACAGAUCCAAUAAACCUAAGUGGAAAACAGACAAACCCUCCGGUAGUUUAUUUUAAUUAUGAAAAAUGAACUAAAUCAAUAAACUAAUAUAUGUUUUGGAGCUCCUAACAUUGUCUAGAUUAGUUAUGAUAUCGUCGAUA